GACGAACGCUGGCGGCGCGCCUAACACAUGCAAGUCGAACGGAGCUUAGAGAGCUUGCUUUUUAAGCUUAGUGGCGAACGGGUGAGUAACGCGUGAGUAACCUGCCCUAGAGUGGGGGACAACAGUUGGAAACGACUGCUAAUACCGCAUAAGCCCACGGUACCGCAUGGCACUGAGGGAAAAGGAUUUAUUCGCUUUAGGAUGGACUCGCGUCCAAUUAGCUAGUUGGUGAGGUAACGGCCCACCAAGGCGACGAUUGGUAGCCGGACUGAGAGGUUGAACGGCCACAUUGGGACUGAGACACGGCCCAGACUCCUACGGGAGGCAGCAGUGGGGGAUAUUGCACAAUGGGGGAAACCCUGAUGCAGCGACGCCGCGUGGAGGAAGAAGGUUUUCGGAUUGUAAACUCCUGUCGUUAGGGACGAUAAUGACGGUACCUAACAAGAAAGCA
rnacentral:rRNA from 1 species